AUUGAACGCUGGCGGCAUGCCUUACACAUGCAAGUCGAACGGUAACAGGUCUUCGGAUGCUGACGAGUGGCGAACGGGUGAGUAAUACAUCGGAACGUGCCCAGACGUGGGGGAUAACGAGGCGAAAGCUUUGCUAAUACCGCAUACGAUCUAAGGAUGAAAGCAGGGGACCGCAAGGCCUUGCGCGUUUGGAGCGGCCGAUGGCAGAUUAGGUAGUUGGUGGGAUAAAAGCUUACCAAGCCGACGAUCUGUAGCUGGUCUGAGAGGACGACCAGCCACACUGGGACUGAGACACGGCCCAGACUCCUACGGGAGGCAGCAGUGGGGAAUUUUGGACAAUGGGCGAAAGCCUGAUCCAGCAAUGCCGCGUGCAGGAUGAAGGCCUUCGGGUUGUAAACUGCUUUCGUACGGAACGAAAAGGCUCUGGCUAAUACCUGGAGCACAUGACGGUACCGUAAGAAUAAGCACCGGCUAACUACGUGCCAGCCGCCGCAGUAAAAC
rnacentral:rRNA from 1 species